rnacentral:tRNA from 1 species
GCCCCCAUAGCUUAGUGGUAAAGCAGUUGGCUCUUAACCAAUUGAUCAAGGUUCGAUUCCUUGUGGGGGCACAA